GGUUCCUGCUGAGCAGAUAGCCUGACGUGGGGCUUGAUCCCAGGACUCUGAGACCCUGAGCUAAGCCGAAGGCAGGUACUUAACCCACUACGCUACCCAGGC